GAUCCAUCCGUGGUCUUGAGAUAGCGAGCGAGAUAUUCGAGGCGAGAGCGUGUGCGGAGACACACUCUCUCUCUCUCUCGCUCUCUCGGCUCUCGCGUGUGUGUGUGUGCGCGUGCUGUUCGCGUAUAUGUGCGCGCGCGUGUGCGUGUCGCGUGUGUUGUUGAGAGUCGCUCUCUCGCGUGUUUUUCGUGCGCUCUCGUCUUACACACCACGUGUGCGGCGCAUGCUAUAUAAAACUUCUCAUAGAGAUCUCCACCUCUCAGAACGUACGCGACACAGAGCACUAUCACAUCUCUGAUGCGCUCUGAGGUUCUCUGCCGCGCGCGCGCGCCACAACGCGCGCGCCGCAUGUGUUCCCCUUUCCGCGAGGAGCGGGCACCCCUCUGAAAAAGCCCCCGGCGUGCUUGGGCCUGGGGCUUGCAAUUCUUUCCCACAAACGAGGAAUGCCUAGUAGCGGCGGGUCACUGAGCCCACCGUGACUCAGUCCCUGCCCUUUGUACACACCGCCCGUCGCUACUACCGAUUGGGUGUACCAGUGAGAACCUUGGACUGGCGUCCGUUGCUCUGUUGCACACGGUACUGACGGAAAGAGGUCCGAACUGGUGCACUUAGAGGAAGUAAAAGGCGUGACA
rnacentral:rRNA from 1 species